rnacentral:rRNA from 1 species
AGCGAACGCUGGCGGCAGGCUUAACACAUGCAAGUCGAGCGGGCACUUUCGGGUGUCCGCGGCGGACGGGUGCGUAACGCGUGGGAACGUGCCCUCUGGUUCGGAAUAACUCAGGGAAACUUGGGCUAAUACCGGAUACGCCCUUUUGGGGAAAGGCUUGCUGCCGGAGGAUCGGCCCGCGUCUGAUUAGCUAGUUGGUGAGGUAACGGCUCACCAAGGCGACGAUCAGUAGCUGGUCUGAGAGGAUGAUCAGCCACACUGGGACUGAGACACGGCCCAGACUCCUACGGGAGGCAGCAGUGGGGAAUAUUGGACAAUGGGCGCAAGCCUGAUCCAGCCAUGCCGCGUGAGUGAUCAAGGCCUUAGGGUUGUAAAGCUCUUUUAUCCGGGACGAUAAUGACGGUACCGGAGGAAUAAGCCCCGGCUAACUUCGUG